rnacentral:rRNA from 1 species
ACAGAGGGGGCGAGCGUUAUUCGGAAUUAUUGGGCGUAAAGGGCGCGUAGGCGGCUUGACAAGUCCAAGGUGAAAUCCCUCGGCUCAACCGAGGAACUGCCUUGGAAACUGUCUGGCUCGAGGCCGGGAGAGGGUAGUGGAAUUCCCAGUGUAGCGGUGAAAUGCGUAGAUAUUGGGAGGAACACCGGUGGCGAAGGCGGCUACCUGGACCGGAUCUGACGCUGAUGCGCGAAAGCGUGGGGAGCAAACAGGA